UACAGAGGGUGCGAGCGUUAAUCGGAAUUACUGGGCGUAAAGCGUGCGCAGGCGGUUUUGUAAGCCGGAUGUGAAAUCCCCGGGCUUAACCUGGGAAUGGCAUUCGGGACUGCAAGGCUGGAGUGCGGCAGAGGAGACUGGAAUUCCUGGUGUAGCAGUGAAAUGCGUAGAUAUCAGGAGGAACACCGAUGGCGAAGGCAGGUCUCUGGGCUGACGCUGACGCUCAUGCACGAAAGCGUGGGGAGCAAACAGG
rnacentral:rRNA from 1 species